ensembl:snoRNA predicted gene, 26130
UGUCCCAUUUGACUACCACAUUUUCUCCUGAUAGUAGAUUUUAGUGGCUAUGCUUGUGGGAUAGACUAAAGUUGCCAUGAUCUGAAGGGGGAGGGCUUUUCAGUGUCUUCCUUCUAUAUGAAAUGGCUGAACACAAAAUU